UACAGAGGGUGCGAGCGUUGUCCGGAAUCACUGGGCGUAAAGGGUGCGUAGGCGGGUCUUUAAGUCAGGGGUGAAAUCCUGGAGCUCAACUCCAGAACUGCCUUUGAUACUGAAGAUCUUGAGUCCGGGAGAGGUGAGUGGAACUGCGAGUGUAGAGGUGAAAUUCGUAGAUAUUCGCAAGAACACCAGUGGCGAAGGCGGCUCACUGGCCCGGUACUGACGCUGAGGCACGAAAGCGUGGGGAGCAAACAGG
rnacentral:rRNA from 1 species